UGGUUAUAGACACACUAAGUAGUAUUGCCGAUAAAUGUUAAAUACUGUAUGACUGUAAUGUGUAAUAUAGGCGUAGAGAGCAGCAGGCUUUGCAUCAGAUUGGGCCUCGAUCUAUUAUGGAUUCACAUUGCAUACAUCAGAGGUGCGUUCAAAACCAGCAAACGUUCAAGGCAAAUACAUUUUCUUUGUAGCCUACUUUUAAAUGUUAAGGUUUUGUGUAAACAUUCCAAAUUGUUGGAUUUAAACUGUAACCUUAAUACAGUGUCUCUAGUUUGUUCGCUGAGAGCUACCUCCUCAGACGGUUUGUGUUUACAAACGUUCACAGUGAACUCAAAGCAAAGUUUGCAUUGAUCCGCAUCGGACUAGAGCCCAAACUGGUCAAAAAUCAGCUGCUCUCUUCUGUUAGUCAUCACUGUGCUGGCCCAGAUCAGUGGAUUAAAUCAGGGCAGUGGUUCUCAACCCUGCUCCGUGGCCUGAUCCUUCUCCCCGUGUUCUGCGUAUCUUCCAUAUGUCCUAGCUCUACAUAGCCUACCUGACUGAACUCAUAAGUGGCAUUCAUGACUAGCUGAACAGACCAGAUUUAGUUAGCUAAUCAAGAUCUAGUUACUAUAACGACUCUGUAUUCAGGCUGGAAGACUGGCAUAUGCAGGAGAUACGCUAGGUGAGCAGGGGGUCUUCAGAAGCAGGAACGACUUGAGGGAAAACUAGCGCUUGUGUCUGAAUGACGAGACUAAUGCAGCAGGACCCACCCAGGUGUGGGUGCUUAAGGCACCUACUUGAAGCAGCUCUUAAGAGUGUCGGUUCAUGUUGUGCGAGAGCACCUGGAGCACCUGGAGCACGUGAAGCACGUGAAGAAGGGACGGAGACCGAACGCUCAGAAGGAGCAAGAGAGUCUGAGCCAUGACCGGAAGGGGGAAGGAUAGACCUCAAGGCUGGAAGGAGCUGGACAGACCAACUGGGAACCGACAAGCUGGAAUGUAACCAGAAGUUUGAGAAUUGUUUAACCCUGAAUGAAGAGGGGAAAAGGGACAUUUUGUGUUCGUGUUUGAAGUCAAUUAAAAACCUUCUUUUUAACCUCC